rnacentral:rRNA from 1 species
UACGGAGGGUGCAAGCGUUGCUCGGAAUUAUUGGGCGUAAAGGGCAGGUAGGUGGUCUCAUUUGUCUGGGGUGAAAGCCUUGAGCUUAACUCAAGAAGUGCCUCAGAAACGGUGAGACUAGAGUCCUGGAGAGGGUCGUGGAAUUCCCGGUGUAGCGGUGAAAUGCGUAGAGAUCGGGAGGAACACCAGAGGCGAAGGCGGCGACCUGGACAGGUACUGACACUCAACUACGAAAGCGUGGGGAGCAAACAGG